GUGCUCACUUCGGCAGUGCAUAUACUAAAGUUGAAACGACACAGAGAAGAUUAGCAUGGUCCCUGUGCAAGGAUGACACACAAAUCUGUGAAGCGUUCCAUAUUAUU
rnacentral:snRNA from 1 species